GCCCGGCUAGCUCAAUCGGUAGAGCGUGAGACUCUUAGCUUUCACGUCCUAACUAGACUCGAUUGGUUCAUCUCAAGGUUGUGGGUUCGACCCCCACGUCGGGCU